CCUACGGGAGGCAGCAGUGGGGAAUAUUGCACAAUGGGGGAAACCCUGAUGCAGCGACGCCGCGUGAGUGAAGAAGGCUUUCCGGAUGUAAAGCUCUAUCAGCAGGAACGAGACCCGACGGUCCCUGACUACGACGCCCCGGCUCAAUACGUGCCAGCAGCCGCGGUAAUACGUAGGGGGCUAGCGUUAUCCGGAUUUACUGGGGGUAAAGGGAGCGUAGACGGUGCGCCAAGUCUGGAGUGAAAUGCCGCAGCUUAACUGCGGAACUGCUUUGGAAACUGGCGAACUAGAGUGCGGGAGGGGUAAGCGGAAUUCCUAGUGUAGCGGUGAAAUGCGUAGAUAUCAGGAGGAACACCGGUGGCGAAGGCGGCUUACUGGACCGUAACUGACGUUGAGGCUCGAAAGCGUGGGUAGCAAACAGGAUUAGAUACCCUUGUAGUC
rnacentral:rRNA from 1 species